rnacentral:rRNA from 1 species
UGGGGAAUUUUGGACAAUGGGGGAAACCCUGAUCCAACCAUCCCGCGUGUGCGAUGAAGGCCUUCGGGUUGUAAAGCACUUUUGGCAGGAAAGAAACGUCAUGGGUUAAUACCCCGUGAAACUGACGGUACCUGCAGAAUAAGCACCGGCUAACUACGUGCCAGCAGCCGCGGUAAUACGUAGGGUGCAAGCGUUAAUCGGAAUUACUGGGCGUAAAGCGUGCGCAGGCGGUUCGGAAAGAAAGAUGUGAAAUCCCAGAGCUCAACUUUGGAACUGCAUUUUUAACUACCGGGCUAGAGUGUGUCAGAGGGAGGUGGAAUUCCGCGUGUAGCAGUGAAAUGCGUAGAUAUGCGGAGGAACACCGAUGGCGAAGGCAGCCUCCUGGGAUAACACUGACGCUCAUGCACGAAAGCGUGGGGAGCAAACAGG